rnacentral:rRNA from 1 species
AUGGGGUUUUGCGUAAGUGGCACCAGAGCAACUAUCAUGGGAAUAGGCACAGCCGUGCCAACAAAUGUACUGCAACAAAGUUCCUUCUCUGACUACUAUUUUGAGACAACAAAUAGCAAUCACAUGGUGGACCUAAAGGCCAAGUUCGCAAAUAUAUGUGAGAAGACAAUGAUUGAGAAGAGACAUUUGUACAUGUCUGAUGAGUUCAUUAGGAGCAGCCCUUCUAUUACGGCCUACAAUUCCCCAUCGCUCAACCUUCGUCAAGGGCUAGCGGAUGCCGCUAUACCACAACUCGGUGCGGAAGCUGCACGGCAUGCCAUCGCGGACUGGGGCCGGCAGGCAUCGAACAUCACACACCUCGUCUUCUGCACGACGGUGAGUGGGUGCAUGCCCGGUGCCGACUUUGAGCUCAUCAAGCUCCUCGACCUCCCUCUCUCCACUAGACGUUUCAUGCUAUACCAGGCUGGCUGCCAUGGUGCCGGCAUCUCCAUGCGUCUAGCCAAGGACCUUGCUGAAAAUAACCAUGGCUCCCGUGUACUUGUGGUUUGCUCUGAGGUGAUCACCAUGGCUUUUCGUGGCCCCUCGAAAAGCCACAUGGGGAACCUUGUUGGGCAGGCCAUCUUUGAUGACGCCGCAGGUGCCAUUAUCAUUGGAGCUGAACCUACUGGGAACGAGAGACCCUUAUUCGAGAUGGUGUCUGCAUCACAAGACAUCAUACCGGGCACGGAAGAGAUGGUGGUGUCCAAGCUAUACGAGGAUGGGAUUGUGUACACCCUUCACCGAGAUGUCGCGCUCCAUAUCUCGAGAAACAUAGAGGGGCGUGUGAAGAAGGCACUCGAGCGUGCCUCGCUCCUCACCAAGGACUGGAACGAGGAGCUGUUUUGGGUGGUGCACCCUGGUGGCAGGGAGAUACUGGACAAGGUGGAGAGCAGCCUUGUUCUGAGAAAAGAGAAGAUGGAUGUCUCAAGGAAGGUGAUGGCGCAGCAUGGCAACACACUGAGCUCGUGUGUCAUUGUUGUUAUGGAUGAGAUGCGAAAGAGGUCUCGGAAGCGUGGGCUACCCACGGCAGGGGAAGGUCUUGAGUGGGGACUGCUCUUUAGCUUUGGCCCAGGCCUCACCGUCGAGACCAUACUUCUCCGAGCACUGCACAAUCAAGAACCCAACGCGUGA